GCCUGGUUAGCCCACUUGUUAGAGCAUCAGACUUUUAAUCUGAGGGCCAUGGGUUCAAGUCCCAUAUCGCGCU
rnacentral:tRNA from 1 species